GACGUAGGGUGCGAGCGUUGUCCGGAUUUAUUGGGCGUAAAGAGCUCGUAGGCGGCUCGUCGCGUCGACCGUGAAACCCCGCAGCUUAACUGCGGGCCUGCGGUUGAUACGGGCGGGCUAGAGUUCGGUAGGGGAGACUGGAAUUCCUGGUGUAGCGGUGAAAUGCGCAGAUAUCAGGAAGAACACCAGUGGCGAAGGCGGCUCUCUGGGACGGUACUGACGCUGAGACGCGAAAGCGUGGGGAGCGAACAGG
rnacentral:rRNA from 1 species